rnacentral:lncRNA from 1 species
UUGUUUGUAUGUGGUGCUGAGGAUCGAACCCGGGCCGCAUGCAUGCCAGGCGAGCACGCUACCACUUGAGCCACAUCCCCAGCCCAAGAAUACAAGUUUUGAUGAUAAAAUCAUGAUAUAAAUAUUUGGAGACCACAAAGUUGUGAGAAUAUCCCACAUGAUGAGAAUAGAGUCCUCAUGCUGUCAGUCUCUCCUGCCCUGCACUACACUUUUCUGGAAUAUUUUAGAAUUCAGUGGCCUUUGAGGAUGUGGCUAUGAACUUCCCCCAGGAGGAGUGGGCUCUGUUGGAUCCUUCCCAGAAGAAUCUCCACAGAGAUGCAAUGCAGGAAGUCUUUAAAAAGCUGGAUUGUAUAGGUAAGGGUGAUGCUUCAUUACAUAAUCAAACACUGAGUAAUUGAGAGGAUUUUUUUAAAUUUUAAACAAAAGAUUAACCCAGAGGUGUUCAACUACUGACCCAUAUCUAUA